ACCCAUUCUUCCCUUCACCAUCAGAGUCUUCAGAUGAGCUGCAGCACCGCUGUGAUGGAUGUAAAGCUCUUUUAGUGUCUUCUGCCAUCUUGGCUGUCCUGUUGGCUGUGAUGACCCCCUUUGCCGUGUAUGGAGCGUAUAGACUGACUUGUAAAGCCACACCACCAACAGAAAACAUUAAGAAGAAUGUCAGGAGCUGUGGCUCUGAUCCAAAGGAGACUGCUACGGAACUAGAAGGUGACUAUCAGAUGCUGUCUCACAAGGACAGGGCCAUAUAUGAAGUGUGCGUCCUUCAAACAAACACAGGAAGGACGUGAGCGGCGGAUGUCGAGUCUUCACGUCUGCCUCUUUGGGCUCCCAGCACUGCAUUGACACGAAGACACCGGCCUGGCUAAGCUGUCUGACCGACAGGAGGCUCCAUUAUAGGACUUACCUGGUGGCCAGUUCUGCAUACCUUCUGCUCCUUUUCUUGCUCUUAUUCUCCUUCUGGUUUUGUUCCUUUGACAUUCUCUCAUUUCUCAAGUAAAAACAUUAAUCGUACAUGACUACA